rnacentral:rRNA from 1 species
CAACCUGCCGAUGACUCGGGGAUAGCCUUUCGAAAGAAAGAUUAAUACCCGAUGGCAUAGUUCUUCCGCAUGGUAGAACUAUUAAAGAAUUUCGGUCAUCGAUGGGGAUGCGUUCCAUUAGGUUGUUGGCGGGGUAACGGCCCACCAAGCCUUCGAUGGAUAGGGGUUCUGAGAGGAAGGUCCCCCACAUUGGAACUGAGACACGGUCCAAACUCCUACGGGAGGCAGCAGUGAGGAAUAUUGGUCAAUGGACGAGAGUCUGAACCAGCCAAGUAGCGUGAAGGAUGACUGCCCUAUGGGUUGUAAACUUCUUUUAUACGGGAAUAAAGUGAGGCACGUGUGCCUUUUUGUAUGUACCGUAUGAAUAAGGAUCGGCUAACUCCGUGCCAGCAGCCGCGGUAAUACGGAGGAUCCGAGCGUUAUCCGGAUUUAUUGGGUUUAAAGGGAGCGUAGGCGGACGCUUAGGUCAGUUGUGAAAGUUUGCGGCUCAACCGUAAAAUUGCAGUUGAUACUGGGUGUCUUGAGUACAGUAGAGGCAGGCGGAAUUCGUGGUGUAGCGGUGAAAUGCUUAGAUAUCACGAAGAACUCCGAUUG